UUAUUCAUAGCUCAACGGGGAGAGCAUUUGCCUUCUAAGUAAAAGACUGUAGGUUCGAUUCCUAUUGAAUAAA
rnacentral:tRNA from 1 species